AGAGUUUGAUCCUGGCUCAGGAUGAACGCUGGCGGCGUGCCUAAUACAUGCAAGUCGAGCGAAUGGAUUAAGAGCUUGCUCUUAUGAAGUUAGCGGCGGACGGGUGAGUAACACGUGGGUAACCUACCCAUAAGACUGGGAUAACUCCGGGAAACCGGGGCUAAUACCGGAUAAUAUUUUGAACUGCAUAGUUCGAAAUUGAAAGGCGGCUUCGGCUGUCACUUAUGGAUGGACCCGCGUCGCAUUAGCUAGUUGGUGAGGUAACGGCUCACCAAGGCGACGAUGCGUAGCCGACCUGAGAGGGUGAUCGGCCACACUGGGACUGAGACACGGCCCAGACUCCUACGGGAGGCAGCAGUAGGGAAUCUUCCGCAAUGGACGAAAGUCUGACGGAGCAACGCCGCGUGAGUGAUGAAGGCUUUCGGGUCGUAAAACUCUGUUGUUAGGGAAGAACAAGUGCUAGUUGAAUAAGCUGGCACCUUGACGGUACCUAACCAGAAAGCCACGGCUAACUACGUGCCAGCAGCCGCGGUAAU
rnacentral:rRNA from 2 species